GAUGAAGAACGCAGCGAAAUGCGAUAAGUAGUGUGAAUUGCAGAAUACAGUGAAUCAUCGAAUCUUUGAACGCACAUUGCGCCCCUUGGUAUUCCAUGGGGCAUGCCUGUUCGAGCGUCAUUUGUACCUUCAAGCUUUGCUUGGUGUUGGGUGUUUGUCCAUUCUCUUGCAGAGGGACUCGCCUUAAAGUAAUUGGCAGCCAGUGUUUUGGUUUUGAAGCGCAGCACAAGUCGCGAUUCAACGCUAUACGCCAGCUUCCACAAGCCUUUUUCACUUUUGACCUCGGAUCAGGUAGGGAUACCCGCUGAACUUAAGCAUAUCAAUAAGCGGAGGA
rnacentral:misc_RNA from 1 species